rnacentral:misc_RNA from 1 species
UACAGAGGGUGUGAGCGUUAAUCGGUAUUACUGGGCGUAAAGCGCGCGUAGGCGGUUUGGUAAGUCGGAUGUGAAAGCCCUGGGCUUAACCUGGGAAUUGCAUUCGAUACUGCCUGACUAGAGCGUAGUAGAGGGAAGCGGAAUUCCGGGUGUAGCGGUGAAAUGCGUAGAGAUCCGGAGGAACAUCAGUGGCGAAGGCGGCUUCCUGGACUAACACUGACGCUGAGGUGCGAAAGCGUGGGGAGCAAACGGG